AGUGAACGCUGGCGGUAGGCCUAACACAUGCAAGUCGAACGGCAGCACAGUAAGAGCUUGCUCUUACGGGUGGCGAGUGGCGGACGGGUGAGGAAUACAUCGGAAUCUACUUUUUCGUGGGGGAUAACGUAGGGAAACUUACGCUAAUACCGCAUACGACCUACGGGUGAAAGCAGGGGAUCUUCGGACCUUGCGCGAUUGAAUGAGCCGAUGUCGGAUUAGCUAGUUGGCGGGGUAAAGGCCCACCAAGGCGACGAUCCGUAGCUGGUCUGAGAGGAUGAUCAGCCACACUGGAACUGAGACACGGUCCAGACUCCUACGGGAGGCAGCAGUGGGGAAUAUUGGACAAUGGGCGCAAGCCUGAUCCAGCCAUACCGCGUGGGUGAAGAAGGCCUUCGGGUUAUAAAGCCCUUUUGUUGGGAAAGAAAAGCAGCAGGUUAAUACCCCGCUGUUCUGACGGUACCCAAAGAAUAAGCACCGGCUAACUUCAUG
rnacentral:rRNA from 1 species